AUUGAACGCUGGCGGCAUGCUUUACACAUGCAAGUCGAACGGUAACAGGUUAAGCUGACGGGUGGCGAACGGGUGAGUAAUGCAUCGGAACGUGCCCGGUCGUGGGGGAUAACGCAGCGAAAGCUGCGCUAAUACCGCAUACGAUCUGAGGAUGAAAGCGGGGGACCGUAAGGCCUAGCGCGAUCGGAGCGGCCGAUGUCAGAUUAGGUAGUUGGUGGGGUAAAGGCUCACCAAGCCAACGAUCUGUAGCUGGUCUGAGAGGACGACCAGCCACACUGGGACUGAGACACGGCCCAGACUCCUACGGGAGGCAGCAGUGGGGAAUUUUGGACAAUGGGCGAAAUCCUGAUCCAGCAAUGCCGCGUGCAGGAAGAAGGCCUUCGAGUUGUAAACUGCUUUUGUACGGAGCGAAAAGGUCUCCUCUAAUACAGGGGGCUCAUGACGGUACCGUAAGAAUAAGCACCGGCUAACUACGUGCCAGCCGCCGCGGUAA
rnacentral:rRNA from 1 species